rnacentral:rRNA from 1 species
GACGGGGGGGGCAAGUGUUCUUCGGAUUUACUGGGCGUAAAGCGCACGUAGGCGGAUCUUUAAGUCAGAGGUGAAAUCCCAAGGCUCAACCUUGGAACUGCCUUUGAUACUGGGGAUCUUGAGUCCGGGAGAGGUGAGUGGAACUGCGAGUGUAGAGGUGAAAUUCGUAGAUAUUCGCAAGAACACCAGUGGCGAAGGCGGCUCACUGGCCCGGUACUGACGCUGAGGUGCGAAAGCGUGGGGAGCAAACAGG